AUCAUGAUUUAUUACUAGUUUUAUUGAAAAUGAUAAACAUAUACUUAUUACCUAUACAACCUAUUCACAAAAUUUACAUAAUUGCUAAUUGGUAUUAGUAUUUGAUAAAUUCAGAUAUAUCAUAUUUACCCUAAUACAGCAUAGGAAACACUGUAUAGAAAAAUUAAUUUUCUGGCAUCCUAUAAAGAUUAUUUUUAUUUUUAAUCGUAGUAAUUGGCCA